rnacentral:lncRNA from 12 species
AUGCCAGAAGCCACUAGAAAAAGGAUUUUGAUAUUCAGAACCUCAUUAAGAGGUUCCCCUCAUCUUUGGAUAGAGACCAAAAUGAUACUUUCAAGUCCUCAUCUUUGGAUAGAGACCAAAAUGAUACUUUCAAAAAGCCUGACAGGUUUCUCCGGAAAAGUGGCCAUCCAUGGAAUGAAUGAAAUGUUCCCUUUCUAUUCCAGGGAUUGCAGUGGCAAAGCUAGGCUAGGUCUUGGAGGCUGGUGUAAGGCGAAGCGGGUGAAGGCAGGAGGCUGAUGGAGAGACUGGGGGGAAGAAAAGCCGAAAUGGAUUCACGGUGCCUUGGAUGGAGGACGAGAGGGGAACUGCAAGCUCCUUCAACUCGUUCUGUCCGGUGAGAAGUGAUCAAGCUUGGGCUGACAAGAGGCUCAGGAAGCCCUCACGUUCUUUCGCUUUUUUACCUGCCAAUCAAACUGCUACAAGACAACACCCUGAUCUGGCAUGGACAUGUAAGUAGCUUGCAACCCAACUUUGACAUUCACUGCUAGCUCACUCCUCUCCGCCCACCCCCCAACUCACUUUCUUCCCCUCUCAUUCUAUUUUUUUUUUCUUUUGACCUUUAAGAGAUCUAGAAAUACACCCUGUGUGGCAGUCAUUUAACACAGGCAGAUUUAAGUCUGAAAGCGUUAACUUUUGGAAUUAAAUGCUAAUUUUGACUUCUUUAACAAAUGCAGAAACGAAGACAUUAUUUUAUUCUCUUCGGAACAGUUUCAGUGCUGAACAUAAUCAGUUGCCUUGCAAGGGUGUGUGUGUGUGUGUUUUCUUUGAAAAUGAAGAAAUCCGUGAGCCCCCAGAGAGAAAUGCAGAAAUGAACAUUUCAGGCUUCCAUCUUAAAAAUGUGAAUUUUUAGCAUCUCAUCCCUACAAAAACAAAACAACAAAAAACAACAAAAACAAAAAAACAGCAACCACCACCACCACCACCACCACCUUCUCCAGACCAAGGUUACAUAGGAUGGGAAGAGUGAUUUGAGCCCAAAGGUUCCUAUCAUUAAAGGGUUGCUACUAUUUCAUCUGGCGUCUUAUUAUUUUGGUGGCAGUUGGGGAGAGGGCGUGAAAAAAAAAGAAAGAAAGAAAGAGACCUGGCGACACCUCAUUCUUUAUAGGAGAUUGACAUUGAGGGGUCUAAAGCUGCAAGAGGACAGGAGAAGCAGGAAAUAUUACCUGAGAGCAGGAAUCAGAGAGCAUGGCGGAGCUGGAAGCCAGGAGGGCUGCCGUGGGAAGUGGUGCGAGAGCGGACGGGCUUGCUCCCGGGCGCCCUCUAAUGGCCAUCUGGGCCAGUGUUUUACUUUCUUAAUUCAAUCCUGGGAAAAGCAGCUGGGUUUUUGUUGUUGCUGUUGGUGGUUUUUCUCCGCAGGCUUAGAAACUAAGAGACUAUUAGUGGAGUAAAUUGAUUGUUUUCAUCCCAGAAACUUAUGUAUGUGCCUUAAAAUUAUCAAUGUUUUCUCCUCAAGCAUCUCCUCCUCUCCCAAAAUUUUGCUAGACUAAUAGAGGAGGAGAGGCUACUGGCAGAUUGACUUUCGGAGGGUGGCCCAUGCCCAAUUAGCAAUCCGGAGAAAGGGAUUCCUUUCCUACCUGAGCAGCAUUCAGACUCUUCUAAUACACUGAAGGGGUCUUGGGGGCUGAGGUGGGGGGGGGGGAGGGGAUGAUUUGGAAAUUGCAGAUUCUGACACAAGCUCAUUAGAAUACAAUUUAAAGGGGCCUCUUAGGAACCUCUGUUAUUGCGACAUGUGGUGGUCAGGGGGCUUUCCUUCCCGCCUCCUUUUUCUUUUUUUCCUUUUCUUCUUUCUUUCGUUCUUUUUUUUUUUUUUUUUCUUAAAUUUGGUAGAUAAAGGUUAAUCUUGGGCUGAAUGAUAGAGCUAUGAUUGACAAGAGAAAAGGUGUUGAGGGCAGGUCGCGCUGUCUUAUUUACAGCCCACUGCUUGCUGUAGAGUCUUUGUUAGGACUGGAAAGCUAAUUUAGUGCUGAUCAAAAGCACCACAGAGUUAAAGGACUGGUAAUGACUGCUAAUUUCAUUUCAGCCUCAUGCAUCCCCAACUGCUGUAAUUAAAGACACGCUAUUUAAAUACAGGUGAAGGUUUUUUUUUUUUUUUUUAAAGUUAGGGUGGGGGUGGGUGGAUUACAAUAUUACUUAGAUUUCAUCUUCUACACGGGUGUUAUGUAGUCCAACAUCAGAUUUUUUUCUUUUUAAGAGCCGCUUCUUGUCAUUUAUACCUGGCUUUGCAGAAUCGGCAGUCGUGAAAUAUGUCAAUCACACAAAAGCCCCCGUUUAAAGAAAAAAAAGGGGGGGGAUGCAGAACAGUAAAUGUUUAGGGGGGGGAUUUAAAUAUUUGGGUCUCUUUUCUUUUUCCCCUUCAAAUUAAUAGAAGGGCCUGCGAAAUAGCUAAAGUAUUUGAAACUUAGGGCAGGGUUAACAGGCCAAAGGGAUCAGUGUCAGCUUUUUAAGUACUUCUAAAAAGAUCAUGUGAACAGAUGGAAAAAUAUAUUUUUAAUUAAAUAAUUUCCCCCACACUGUAGCUGCAGUGUUGGCUCAGAAACCGUGUAAUUCCUCAACCAAUAGGAGUUUCUUUAUAAGAACAUCAAAGGAUAAAAAGCUCUACAUUUUCGUAGUUGGUUAAAAUUGAUAACCCCCCCCCCAUACACACACACACCCAAAAAAAGAAUUUAGCCUUUAAUCUCUUUUUAUCCACGAAGACUAAAGCUCUGUACUCGACCCCGCGAGCGGCUCUCGCCUUCCGGGGCUGGAACCGGGCUCAGAUGUGAAGCGGCGCUGAGCCGCGGCGCAGGUUCGUGACCAGCGCCCCCUGUUGGACACAGUAGGAGAUGCACAGCGCCAGUCCUGCAAAUCGAGAGAACCUUGCUCUGGGGUUAGAUAAAACUCUUUAUUACCCUCCAAAAAGGAGAUGGGGCGAGGAAACAAGUUUUUAUAUCCUUGAAAGAUAAUAUAAUUUAAUUCACUAAAAAAUAAAAAGGAGAUGAUACAAUUUUAAUUCA